rnacentral:rRNA from 1 species
UCCGUAGGUGAACCUGCGGAAGGAUCAUUACAGAGUUCAUGCCCUUACGGGUAGAUCUCCCACCCUUGAAUAUUUUACCUUUGUUGCUUUGGCGGGCCGCCUUCGGCCACUGGCUUUUAGCUGGUGAGCGCCCGCCAGAGGACCCUAAACUCUAAAAUUUAUUAUUGUCUGAGAACUAUAUAAUAGUUAAAACUUUCAACAACGGAUCUCUUGGUUCUGGCAUCGAUGAAGAACGCAGCGAAAUGCGAUAAGUAAUGUGAAUUGCAGAAUUCAGUGAAUCAUCGAAUCUUUGAACGCACAUUGCGCCCCUUGGUAUUCCGGGGGGCAUGCCUGUUUGAGUGUCAUGUAGACUCAACCUCCUCGGUUUAUGAUCGGGACAGGUUGGAUGUGGGCGCUGCCGGUCACGGCUCGCCUUAAAUGUCUUAGCGGCUUCAGAAGCCCCAUUCUGGCGUAAUAAGUUUCGCUGGAGAGGGUGUGGAUGACUGCUUACAAUCGCCCUUGGGCAAUACUUUGACUCUGGCCUCAAAUCAGGUAGGACUACCCGCUGAACUUAAGCAUAUCAAUAAGGCGGGAGGGGAAGGUCGGACUGGCCAAGGGCACACAGGGGGGGGAUA